rnacentral:tRNA from 1 species
UCCCAGGUGGCUCAGAUGGUAAAGUGUCUGCCUACAAUGCGGGAGACCUGGGUUCAACCCCUGCGUUGGGAA